rnacentral:rRNA from 1 species
CCCUUAGAUGUUCUGGGCUGCACGCGCGCUACACUGAUGCAUCCAACAAGUUUUCUCCCUUGUUCGGUAGGACUGGGUAAUCUUUUGAGUAUGCAUCGUGAAGGGGAUAGAUUAUUGCAAUUAUUAAUCUUCAACGAGGAAUUCCUAGUAAGCGCGAGUCAUCAGCUCGCGCUGAUUACGUCCCUGCCCUUUGUACACACCGCCCGUCGCUGCAACUGAUUGGGUGUGCUGGUGAAAUGUUCGGAUCGGCCGUUUGUCGCGGUUUCCGCGUCAUGUGGCUGAGAAGUUCAUUAAACCCUCCCACCUAGAGGAAGGAGAAGUCGUAACA